CUACGUGCCAGCAGCCGCGGUAAUACGGAGGAUGCGAGCGUUAUCCGGAUUUAUUGGGUUUAAAGGGUGCGUAGGCGGCCUGUUAAGUCAGCGGCGAAAUCUAGGAGCUUAACUCCUAAAUUGCCAUUGAUACUGGCGGGCUUGAGUGUAGAUGAGGUAGGCGGAAUGCGUGGUGUAGCGGUGGAAUGCAUAGAUAUCACGCAGAACUCCGAUUGCGAAGGCAGCUUACUAAGGUACAACUGACGCUGAAGCACGAAAGCGUGGGUAUCAAACAGGAUUAGAUACCCUGGUAGUCCACGCUGUAAACGAUGAUAACUGGGCGUAUGCGAUAUACAGUAUGCUCCUAAGCGAAAGCGUUAAGUUAUCCACCUGGGGAGUACGCCGGCAACGGUGAAACUCAAAGGAAUUGACGGGGGCCCGCACAAGCGGAGGAACAUGUGGUUUAAUUCGAUGAUACGCGAGGAACCUUACCCGGGAUUGAAAUUUAGAUGCUGGCAGAUGAGAG
rnacentral:rRNA from 1 species